UACGGAGGGUGCAAACGUUGCUCGGAAUCAUUGGGCGUAAAGCGCACGUAGGCGGCCUGUUAAGUCGGAUGUGAAAGCCCCGGGCUCAACCCGGGAAGUGCAUUCGAAACUGGCGGGCUUGAAUAUGGAAGAGGGUCGCGGAAUUCCCGGUGUAGAGGUGAAAUUCGUAGAUAUCGGGAGGAACACCGGUGGCGAAGGCGGCGACCUGGGUAGAUACUGACGCUGAGGCGCGAAAGCGUGGGGAGCAAACAGG
rnacentral:rRNA from 1 species